GACGAAGGGGGCUAGCGUUGUUCGGAAUUACUGGGCGUAAAGCGCGUGUAGGCAGCUGUGCAAGUCGGGUGUGAAAGCCCUGGGCUCAACCUAGGAAGUGCACUCGAAACUGCAGAGCUGGAGUCCUGGAGAGGAAGGCGGAAUUCUCGGUGUAGAGGUGAAAUUCGUAGAUAUCGAGAGGAACACCGGUGGCGAAGGCGGCCUUCUGGACAGUGACUGACGCUGAGACGCGAAAGCGUGGGGAGCAAACAGG
rnacentral:rRNA from 1 species